rnacentral:tRNA from 1 species
GAGCCAUUAGCUCAGCUGGUAGAGCAUCUGACUUUUAAUCAGAGGGUCAGAGGUUCGAGUCCUCUAUGGCUCA